UAGCCACUUUGGUAGCUCAGACACUAAAACUGGAAUGAUUCAGAGAAAAUAAGUAUGGCCCUUACACAAGGAAGACAUGCAAAGUCAUAAAGCAAUCUGUACAUUU
ensembl:snRNA U6 U6 spliceosomal RNA